rnacentral:tRNA from 2 species
GGGCGCGUAGCUCAGUGGGAUGAGCGCUCGCCUCACACGCGAGAGGCCGCUGGUUCGAUCCCAGCCGCGCCCA